rnacentral:lncRNA from 1 species
AGAUUUAACGAGGUUCGGUAAAUUAUACCUACGUCCUCGGGCACUAACACCAGAUGAUAACUUUACUAUCUCCAAAGUAUUACAAACAAAUAGAAUUCCUUAAGAAUUCUCAAAUGGGAGAAGAGAGAAAACUAAGAGAGAAAGAUUGGUUGGGAUAAAUUGAAAUGAGAAAUGAGAAGGCCUAUUUAUAGUUGAGGUUUAAGGACCAAACAAUAAAUAGCCCAUUAUCUCAAGGACCAAAAAAAAUUAUCCCUUGCCACUUUUCCAAAGUUGGUGGUUGUCAUUAUUGAUUGUCUCCCAUUAAUGUUAAUGGCAGCCAUUAUUAAUUGUCUUCCAUUAAUGUUA